UACGGAAGGUGCAAGCGUUGUUCGGAGUGACUGGGCGUAAGGGCGCGUAGGCUGGAAGAUAAGACGAUUGUGAAAACCCCGGGCUUAACCUGGGACGUGCAGUCGUGACUGUUUUUCUUGAAUGUCUAAGAGGUUAGUGGAAUUCCAGGUGUAGGAGUGAAAUCCGUAGAUAUCUGGAGGAACACCGGAGGCGAAGGCGGCUAACUGGUGGAGCAUUGACGCUGAGGCGCGAAAGCGCGGGGAGCAAACAGG
rnacentral:rRNA from 1 species